rnacentral:rRNA from 1 species
GAGUUUGAUCAUGGCUCAGAGUGAACGCUGGCGGCAUGCCUAACACAGGGUGCAAGUCGAACGGUAACGGGCCCGCAAGGGUGCUGACGAGUGGCGGACGGGUGAGGAAUACAUCGGAAUUUGCCCAAUCGUGGGGGAUAACGUAGGGAAACUUACGCUAAUACCGCAUACGACGGUGACGUGAAAGCGGGGGAUCAGCAAUGACCUCGCGCGGAUGGAUAAGCCGAUGUCGGAUUAGCUAGUUGGCGGGGUAAAGGCCCACCAAGGCGACGAUCCGUAGCUGGUCUGAGAGGAUGAUCAGCCACACUGGGACUGAGACACGGCCCAGACUCCUACGGGAGGCAGCGAGUGGGAAUAGUGGACAAGUGGGGCAACCGUGAUCCAGCAAUGCCGCGUGUGUGAAGAAGGCC